GAUGAACGCUGGCGGCGUGCUUAACACAUGCAAGUCGAACGAAGCAUUUGCGACAGAUUUUUUCGGAAUGAAGUUGCUUAUGACUGAGUGGCGGACGGGUGAGUAAAGCGUGGGUAACCUGCCUUGUACUGGGGGAUAGCAGCUGGAAACGGCUGGUAAUACCGCAUAAGCGCACAAUGUUGCAUGAUAUGGUGUGAAAAACUCCGGUGGUAUAAGAUGGAUCCGCGUCUGAUUAGCUAGUUGGUGAGAUAACAGCCCACCAAGGCGACGAUCAGUAGCCGACAGGAGAGGGUGACCGGCCACAUUGGGACUGAGACACGGCCCAGACUCCUACGGGAGGCAGCAGUGGGGAAUAUUGCACAAUGGAGGAAACUCUGAUGCAGCGACGCCGCGUGAGUGCAGAAGUACUUCGUGAUGUAAAGCUCUCUCAGCAGGGAAGAUAGUGACGGUACCUUACUAAGAAGCGCCGGCUAAAUACGCG
rnacentral:rRNA from 1 species